UCCUCUCUUUUUUAUGUUUAGAAACAUAUUAGCAUCGUUAUGAAAAUUUUUUGAAGCAUAAAGAUACAUUCAUAAAUUAAUACUUAAUAUAAUAAUUGAAUAUGUUUAUCAUUAAUGAAUAUGAUUUCAAGCAUGAAAUGUAGUAGAAUGAUUCAUGGUCGUUUUUAAAAUGCUGAAACUAUUUAGCUGUUAGAUUUUCUGUUAUAUAUUAAGAAUUUAAAUUUACUUUUGAAAAGCAUAUUUUUUAUAAGUCUUCAAAUUUAAGAGGCUUAUAUGUCUUCAUUAAGUGCAUGCUUUAUUUUAUUGUAUUUUGAUAUCUGGUUCUCUUUUGUAGUUCUCUCAAAAAGGCAUGUUAUGUCUAUGUUCUUAAAUGCUAUGCAUCUAAUGAUUUUCCUUCAUCCUUUCAUGAGGCAUUCUGCUAAGCCUCAGUCAAAAGGUGCUGGUGCUGUAAAUUUGGUGGUCCCAGUAUAUACGAUUGCAAUAAUAUUGUUUUUUAUGUAUUCAUUGUUCAAAAUGAUGUUGAAGAAAAACAAUGAAACAUGUCAUUCUACUUCUGUGAAACCAUGUAAAGCAAACGCUAUACAUAAAUUUGCAGAGGUAGAAGAACAUUUGGAGAAAAGAAAAGUAAAUGCCCAUGAAAGGAAAACACAUCGUGUUCUUGAACAGUAUGGAAAGGAGAAAGUUUUAACUGCAUUGAAAACAAUCAUUUUGGAAAUGGAAGAUUUUAAAGGAAACUUUAGUGAAAUGGAUGUGAGACCUACGUCAGUACCAGAUGCUCUUGGUAGCACUUUUGAUAGUAGUGCAUAGCUUCUGUCAAUCAUAGAUUAGGAUUACAUGUUUAUUCUAGAACAAGAAGGCAGAUACUCUGCAGGAGUGCAGUCCAAAGGAAAAAAAAAACCUCCUUCAAGCACUUUCACUUGGACCACCCUUGAGCUAGCUGGAAAUGCUGGUGUUUUCCCCAUGAGUAUGCUUGAAAAGAAGGCUUUCUGACAGUCUAAGUCAUAGAACAUAAGUAAGAAUGAAGAAAUAUGGUUUCUGUACUCUUUAACUGUUGUUUCCAAAUCACCCAAUUUUGAGCGUGGAAAAAAUAUGAUGGGUCUCCAGUUUCCAUGCUGAGGAACUCUUAUGCUAAAGAAUGUGAAAAACUGCCAUAUUCCAUAUUAUAUUGUUAUGUUUUAUUGAUAUCUGCUAUUUGGUUAUAAGGUUGUUAAAGGCCUUCUUGUUAUAUAUACAGUUGUAAAUAAAUUUUUAUGACAAAUUUA
rnacentral:misc_RNA from 1 species